GAAAUGUAUUACCGAUCUUACCAAAACUGUGCACGCGCCCCCGAUCACAAAACAGGCGACGAAUCCCUUCAGACGCGUGCCCCAUCCCAAAGUGGAGGCUUCGUUCACUGUCUGCAGGGACACAGAUUCAGAUUUACCUGCCAGAACCAGCUUCCCUGCAGGAUGGUGAGGGUACACCGCAGCAGCUCCAGAAUGAUGUUGCCUCGGUGAAAGACCUCAAGGGAGGCGACAAGAGCCUCUCCAAAGAUGGCGUAGAGCAGCAGAUGGUGUACGUGGACGUCCAGCAUACUUCUGCCGUGAAGGUGGUAGAGGAAAAGAAAUCCUGCAAAAACAAAUGAAAGGCAUCAUGGACAAAAGUGAGUGAUUCCCGGCCAGAACUGCUUGUACCCCAGAGAGCACUUUUCCAGUUACCGACAUGGAAAUGAGUCUGCUGUAAUCCGAAUAUGAUCAAAGCAGUGGGGAUACAGAGACCUGCUUACCAAUAAGAGAGAAGAAGAGUAUGACGGAGCUUUCGAUGAUCUCCAAGCGGCGCUGUGAGGCUCUGCUGGCCAGUCGAGUGGAGCCUAUGUUCUUGUUCCUGCGGGUGGCGUGCCAGA